rnacentral:rRNA from 1 species
GACGAACGCUGGCGGCGUGCUUAACACAUGCAAGUCGAACGAAGAGCGAUGGAAGCUUGCUUCUAUCAAUCUUAGUGGCGAACGGGUGAGUAACGCGUAAUCAACCUGCCCUUCAGAGGGGGACAACAGUUGGAAACGACUGCUAAUACCGCAUACGAUCUAAUCUCGGCAUCGAGGAUAGAUGAAAGGUGGCCUCUACAUGUAAGCUAUCACUGAAGGAGGGGAUUGCGUCUGAUUAGCUAGUUGGAGGGGUAACGGCCCACCAAGGCGAUGAUCAGUAGCCGGUCUGAGAGGAUGAACGGCCACAUUGGGACUGAGACACGGCCCAGACUCCUACGGGAGGCAGCAGUGGGGAAUCUUCCGAAAUGGACGAAAGUCUGACGGAGCAACGCCGCGUGAGCGAUGACGGCCUUCGGGUUGUAAAGCUCUGUUAAUCGGGACGAAAGGCCUUCUUGCGAAUAGGGAGAAGGAUUGACGGUACCGGAAUAGAAAGCCACGGCUAACUACGUG